UCCUGCUGUAUUCAUCAAUGACCUCUACUCCUGGAGCAUGGGAGCAGCUCACGCAGGUGGAGGUAGGUGAGUAUUGUUGCUGUGGUACAAUCGUGGAGCAGAGGCACAGUGAACUUAUGCCGCUAGUACAAGGAUACUAAGGAAAUCCAUGGAAGACCCACAAAUUAACUCGGGUCUCAAUCCAGUGCCCCAUAUGCGAGGCCAGCAUCUUCUCUCUUACACUGGAUGUGUGCUAAGGCCACCAGCAAGCCCUGGAUGUCUUCUCCCAAGGAACGAUCCCUUGUUUCACUCCCAAGUGGAUCAUUAGUCCGCCUCUUCUCCUGUGAGCUUCUCCACAAGGAUCGGCAGAUGACACCCUGGCGGAAGACACUAGAAACUACCCUGAUCCAGGUUUCAACACAUGCAUGCUGUGGCAGUGGCCACUGCAGUGCCCCCUUGCUGCUAUCCAGCCAGGACUGGUUUUUGUACAGCCACGUGUCACUGUGGGGUGCCUUCGGAGGAGGAACCCAGCUGACCGUCCUCGGACAGCCGAAGGCCUCUCCUACCGUCCACCUCUUCCCCCCCUCCUCAGAAGAGGUCAGCAGCAAGAGCAAGGCCACGCUGGUGUGUCUGAUGGACAGCUUUUACCCCAGCCCGGUCCAGGUCACCUGGAAAGCUGAUGGCACCACCAUCACCAGUGGAGUGGAGACCACCAAGCCAGCCAAACAGAGCGACAACAAGUACAUGGCCGGCAGCUACCUGUCGCUGAGCGCCUCCGACUGGAAGAGCCACGAGACCUACACCUGUCAGGUGACGCACGACGGGAAGAGCAUCGAGAAGACCCUGAAGAGAUCGGAGUGCUCUUAGCCCGCAGCCCCGGAGGGCUCGGCCAGAUCCUGUCCCAGUCAGUAGAGAGCUGGGAUCCCUGAGGAGUUGGGAUCCUUCUGUAGUAUCUCCCUAAUGUUGAUUUCCAGCAACUGUAUUUCUUAUUUCAUGUGGAGAUCUUAGCCAAUCCCUGUCAUUGUUCCCACGUAUCCAUCCCCUAGCCUCACCUCUCUGCAUUCCCUGCACAUGCCAUUCCUGUUUUAGUCUCUCAUGCAGCCUUGGUAUAUUAAUAAAUCAGAAACAUUCAACUCUCA